AUGGUAGCAUGGCUACUUCCUCCCCCUGUGAUAAGCUGGCAGAGUGCACAUUUGUGGCUCUCAACGGCUAGCUCAACUACCACAUAGGAAGAGGUUGUUUAUGAAGACAGACACAGGGAGCUAGCUGACGUCAUUUGAGCCCCCAGAUUCAGCCAUACCUGAAGCCGGCGGCAUUUCUCAGUUUCCCAUGAACUCAUUCAUCAAAGUCAAAGCAAAAACAAACACCAGUCUACCCGGAUCCAAAGCCAAAUUUUCGAGAUAGGGAAUUAAGAACAUGCCACUGUAAAACGGGUUUGUGACAUACCAGUUCUACCAUUAUCUUACGAGGUGUCGGUUUCUUCAUCUGGAGAGCAAGGAGAGUUGGAGUUUGGUCUCUGCAUUAUUCUAAAGUCUGCUCCAGCUUCAGAAGCUCUGCGUCUUUGUUAAAUAAAGGUAAUAGCACAUCAAGAGUAGACACCUUGUCCCUAUCGCCAGGUGCAAACAAUUUAAAAUUCUCUACUAAUCUUCUAACGGCAGCCAUUAUCACAUUCAAUGUCAGAGAUCUGGCCAAACAUCCAUUGUAGAAACUACCUUUCAAAAAAA